CCUAAGCACAUGUAAAGACUAUGGACUAUAUAAAUGAAAAAGUCCUCAAACAUAUUUUCAAAAAUUUCUAACCUGAUAAUAGGAUAUUAGUUUAAAAAAAAAAAAAAAUGUUCUCCCAUUAACUUUUUUUUUUACAUAAAGAAACCAUGACACUUUUCAUGCAGAAGAGCAGAUCAAUUCCUAGAACAUAGCGGGCAGAAUACCACCCCAUUUAAUCUGUAGCUUAUUUGGUCGGCUUUUGCCAGGUGGUAAUGUUUGUGUUAGCAUCUCUCCUCAAUAUCAGUUGUAUGAAAAUAUCCCCCAUGCUAAAAGACUUCAAAGAGGUAAAACACACAGUAAGGAGUGUUUGCUAUACUUUUAGAUGAGAUUCCCAUGAUCACACUCAAUGCAUUUGCUGAUUAUUAUUAUUAUUUUUUAAUCCUCUGCCAAGCUUGGGACAUGUACCCCCACUACGUGUUUCCCUGCCUCGGUUUCAGGGGGCUGAGCAGUGCAGCCCCACAAAGCAGGGGCCAGAGGGGCUACACAGCUGCAGGGUUCAGGCUCUGCCGUACCCACAGCCUUGUAGCUGCAGCUUCUGGAGGUGGAAAACAUUUUCUCCUUCGAGCUGAUGCCGGUGCCCGGACGUGUGAGCGCCCCAAGGGGCCGCGGGGCUGCUGUGGGACUGGGAUGCCCCGGCAGGGGCCUAGCUGUUGCCAGGGCCUUUUGACUCCUGUCCCCUUCACAAGCUGUUAAAUGGCGCCUCCUGCCUACCAGCGAAAGAAAAUUGCCUUGAAAAGCUUUGCCACUCAAGUUCUUGACCAUUACACCACUGGGGUUUUGCCCGUCACACCACAGAGGUUGCACCUGAGAUGUCCUGGUGGGCAGUGUCCCCCCACCCUGACAGGGGACAGCGAGUUGGCCAAGGUGCUGUAGGGCAGAGGCCAAAGCUUUGCUUGGUGCCCCAGCACAGGUCAAUGUGUUUCCCUGCCGCCCCAUCAGCCCCUGAGACACCCACAGGUGUCUGAAGUGAUGGGCCUGGGGUACUUGUGCUGGGCAAGCAUGGUCCAAGUGACCCACCUCCCUGGCUCAAGGUCACAACAGGCCAGAAAGGAUGUGAUCAGUUUCACCUAACUUUAGACAUCUACAGUGUAGGCACCACUCUAUGGUGCCUCCAUGCCAUGGGUGGGGAAGGGCAGGUAUGGCCACAGUCCAGCAUAACUCACUCUUGAGCACACACCUGAACAGACCAGAGAAAUUGCCUACCAUAAGUUCUUGUUUUCAUUGCUAAAGAUUUCAGGAAAAGAAAAAUGUUUUGCAGAGGUCCAAAGUCUAACAGCAAGGUGAGCUGACCCUAUUUGCAGAUCCAAGGUAUAGCAGAUGCUGUCUGGUAGGACCUGGCCUCCUCUUGGAUUAUUAGUGCCUUCCUCUGCUUCCUGCCUGCAUACCACAGAAAAUCUGAGGAACACCUAACUAUUCAGACACCCAAGUCACUGUCCUUGGUUAACACCUAGCAAAUUUUGAGCCACUGCACCGUUUGCUGCUUGUGGUGCAAUAGAGAAGUCUUAACUUUGAGGCAAUACAGCAUUUUGCAUAGAUGUUGAUUGCAGAAGAAGAAAGGGAAGCAGACAAGAUCUUUCUUGAAUGAAGAAAUAGUGUCUGUAUAAUUGAUUAAAUAUUUUUCUUUUGUUUUCUCUAGUGUUAGUUAUCAUAAAUUGCCAUGACCUCACAAUGCUGAUGACAUUCAUGCCUGCAUGAGUUCUGCUGCAUACAGGUUCAGGGCUGCAUAAAUUAAAUGAGUUUCAUAGAUCCAUAGAAUAUCCCGAGUUGGAAGGGACCCAUAAGGAUCAUCAAGUCCAACUCCUGGCACCGCACAGGUCUGCCCAAAAGUUUAGACCAUGUGACUAAGUGCACAGUUCAAUCACUUUUUAAAUUCAGACAGGCUUGGUGCAGUGACUUUUAAGGAUUAAGUUUAAGGAUUUUUGGAGGAUAAUGGUAUAGCCAGGCUUCUAUAGAAUACAUGCUGAAGACAAGUUAUUAUUAUGAGUAUUUUUUUUUAAUUUGUUUAAGGGAAUGUGUUUUCACAUGUAAGUACAUUGGCUCCAUUUUUUUCCCCACUAUAUAUCACAGUAACUCUUGGACAAAACUCAGGGGAAAUAGGGAAGGCAGUAUUAAGCCUCUCAGAGUUAACUCUGCAAAUUCCCAAUUUUCACACUUUCAAAAAUGUUUUUUUUUUUGUUUGUUUGUUUUUUAAGUGUCUAAUGCACCCAGUUAUUAUUUAGUUAUUAUUAGUUAAGCAUUAUAUGUUAUUAUUUAGUUAUUAUUAUAGUUAAGCAUUAUAUGAAGCGUAAAUAUUACGAAUAUAAUAGGGACUAGAAUAGGUGAUUUUAAACAUAAGGCAUAAAUUGCUCACACAUACUUCAUUGCAUCAUUUCUUACAUAUAUGGCAAUACAUUCAAGUGGAUAUAGAAAGCUAUUCCAGCAAUAUUGAAAAGGACACAUUUUAGUCCUCACAUCUAAAUGUACUCCCCCUGAGCUUUCUACCCAUAAUAUAUAAAGUGCACCACCUGGACAUUUUAGCCCUGAAGAAGAUGACAGUACUUCAGUCUUUUCAAAACAUCUCUGAACUAUGUCAAGAAACAGUUCUGGUUCUGCUCAGUUACGUUAUUCAGUCCUGUGGAUGAUAUCUAUCUGGUCUAUGAAUGCUUAUGAAAUCAAAAAGUGCAGCAUGUACCAUAAUUGCAGGCAUUUGGAUCAGCACAUGCAAUAAGUGUUCUCAGAAUAUCUCCAAGACUCACACUCUGCAAAGCACUGCCUCUCUCUUGUAAACACAACUAACUCAAGGAAGAAUGUAUAAACUCUCCUUUCACUCAGCUUUGCCCUUUUUCUCUCUUUAGUAGAGGAAGAAUCUCCGCUUAAUGCAGUUAUAUCUUUGGUGACUAUACAUCUGCAGCCUUUCAAGAGACAGUUGUUCCCUCUCAGGCUCUUAUUUCAGGUUCUAAUAAUAAUAAUAAUAAUAAUAAUAAUAAUAAUAAUAAUAAUAAUAAUAAUAAUAAUAAUAAACAAACAAGCAAACAAAACACCACAGACCAUGAACCAAAUCUUAUCUAAAAUGAUUAUCUUUCCUAUGAAGGUGGAAAAAGGUAUUUACCUGAUUCCCAGCAAUGAUAUUUCUCUAAUCUCUCUCUCAUGCUAGGAACAUCACAUUUCUGCAAUAAUGCUAUCCCUAAGCCACUGCAACACAUGCUGAGCAAUUAUCAGAACAUAUUUCUGGAUUUUCCAGAGGCUUUCAGAAUUAUCCAGGUGUGCAGUCAGCUUGUAUAAAAGCAUAUCCACUGUAGAUAACAUUCAUCUCUUAUAUAACUACUAUUUUUUUUUUUUUGGUCUUUCUUUAUUUUCAUUUAGAAAAGUCAUACACUGAAAAAGAGAUGGGCUGCAGGCAUACUGUGACUGCUUAGAGCUUUUAAUGCAUUUGCCAUUCACAUGAGCAAAAUUGAAAAGGGGAAGAUUUUUUGAGUUUUCAUUAAAAUAUAAUUACCCUGUUUCUUUUUGUUUAUAAGGCAUUUUGUUAAAAAAAAAAAAAAAAAAAAAAAGUUGUUAAAAAGAAAUUUAAAGUUAUUUUAUAAGCAGGCAUAAUAUACCAUUUAUAUACAACAGGGAAUGCAAAAUUUUCUCAAAGCUAUUCACAUUUUUUUUUAAUGAUGCCUUUUUUUUUAAGAAAAAAAAAAGAAGAAAAAAAAAGUAAGUAGAGAAAUUGCUGCUGUGCUUGAUAAUUUCUCUAUUUAAAUAGCACCAAAUAGAUUUUGAACUUCAAAAGUCUUUUACAUGAGAUGGAGAAUGGAAGGGUGAGUGGAAACCAUUACCAGGACUACUGCUUGCUGGAAUCAAUUUUCUGCAAGACUGGUUUCACAGUGCCACAUCACAUCAGAUAACAUUUUGAUAAUUGUAUCUUUUCAACAUUAAGAAAGAAAAGGAUUUUGCUAUUUCUAAGUAUAAUUUACAAAAAUAUAACAGAAUUCAGCAUGAGUAUUGCUGAAAACCGUAAAACCACAAGAACCAAGAAUGUGUUCAUAAGCGAAUUUCAAUGUGACAGACUCUGCUAUGCCAGUUUCCUCACAGCUAUUCAUAUGCUUAUUGGUCAGGUAAGAGUUAAUUGGAUUCUGCAAAAAAUCAGAAGUAGCCACUGAAAAGAAAAGCUUAUUAAAGCCUUAUAGAGAAAAUACUGGUAAAAUACCAAGUCAUCACAACAGGCUUAUCAUGCUUUAUCAGAGUGGCUGAAGAAAUAUUUUCUAUUUUGCUUUAUAAAAAACAAACAAACAAACAAACAAACAAAAACUUUGAAAACAACAGCAACAAAACUUAGGCUGAAACUGAAGGAUGUGUACAGAAAGAAAUUUUUCAGCAAAGGGAUUGUUUUUCACAUUGAGUAUGCAGCAUUACAACACAUAAGGAAAUCUUUUCUGAAAGUCAGAACAUCUGUAGCUACAAUUACAAUGCCUAUAGUGCAUUACAAUGCCCAAGUUUAAUUGGGAAACUCACUGUAGAAGACAUUUAGAAUCAUAACAGGCUUCUUCAAUCAGUGAUGUGUGUUCCAGUCCUCUUCAUCAAAGGCAACGUGGGCAUCUCCAUGGCUGACAGCAGCAGGACCAGGUUUGUAGGCAGUAAACCACAAGAUUUGCCAUAUUGUACCAGAGGGCUCUGGUCUGAGCAAACAUUGCUGGGGCUGAGAAGUCAAAGGCAGGGAUGCUGCCCUGAGAGACACCAGUUCUGUGGUUGCAGCAGUGGUCGGUGGGGGAAUUUUAGCUCGUUUAACAGCUCCAUCUCUGUAAGUGCUUGUGUGGGUGAUUCAAGAGCAUCACAGUCUGCUCAGACUCAGUGUUCCUCACCAACUCUCUCUCACUGCCAAAAGUGGAAGAUGGGAGAGGGACCACACAUAGCCACAGCUCCUGCAUGUUAACAAUUAAAAUCUGCCUGAAAAAAAAUUAACAAUGAAAACUCUUAGCUAUGUCAUAUUCAUUCCCUCACACAUGAAUUACGAGGUGAGCCCUUACUUAUGCACAUAUUUUUGAUAUCACACUUCCCACACUGUAACAUAGUCUCAUUUUUGUAUUUAUUCAAUGUAGGCUGGCUGGCAGAAAAUGAUACACUUUAGGUUUUCAUGAAUAUGUUAUGUGCACAUAAAUUUGGUGUGGUGGGCGGAAGAGAGACCAUGGGUCAGGCACAUGAAUAACUGAGAAACAGAAAUAAGUAAUGGCCAUAAUAUCAUUUUUUGUCUUCUAACAGCUGAAGACAGAGUUGACUGGAUCACCUGCUCUCCGUAGCUGCUCAUAUAUGUAGAUGCUGCAAAAAGAAUUUGAAUUAAGAGCUAUGGGUGGCCUUUAGGUCAUGGGCAGUAGCUGCUUAGAUUUCCCUGCAUCUAUUUCCAAAGUAAAAAAAUGCCUGCACUUGAUGACCAUCAAACAUGUGGGGCAAUAAAAUAAAAUAAAAUAAAAUAAAAUAAAAUAAAAUAAAAUAUUACAGAAUGGGAAACAGCAGCAAGAAGAAAAUCGUACAAUUAGAGACCAAACCAGAGGUUCCCAGUGCUGUGUAGCAGGCCCAUGUCAACAUAGUUCAGGGUGGUACAACAUAAUGGUGUGUGCACAGGCUCCCUAAUAUGGCUAAUACAUGGGCUUGUAGGCUCUCCUUAGUUCAUAAAACAACUUCCCUGUCACGGAUCCUCCACAUUCUUGUAGGUCUAGUGGCAAGGCAAUUGUAUUCCUCCUGUCUUGCCUUGAUUCAAAUAUGCUUUUGGGAAGAGAUCCUGUCUGUGCAGCAGGAGUGUUUGCCCUGUGUCUUCCUUCUGCUUGGUUUCCUCCAGCCCUCCUGAAGGCACUGUUUCCAGGAUGGUGUUCUUAAAACAGUGCUGCUGACAAAACAAACCCAAAGCCAGCUCUGCUCUGUGCAGCAUCAGCUAUGCAGGAGCCCUGCACUGAUGUUUGGGUUGAAAUUCUUGACAGCAAAGUUUUGUGGCAGUGCUGUUUGUGACAAGUUCCUGUCAAGACUGAUUUAUAUGGCAAAAUCAAGCAAGCAACAUUAAAAAUAAACUCUAAUGUGCCUUGCUAAUUUCUUCUAUGUAAAAAAAUGAUGUAUUACAGUCUGAAAUCUGCUGUGGCUCUCAACAAAGCCACAUUAUUAUGGUGCUCUCUUGUCAAUAGAUUUAUGAAGUUUUGCAGAUUUGGAAACAACUAUUUCCAAGCUAUAUAUAUGAAAACAAAACAAAACAAAAACCCUUCUCUUUAAGUGGAUAAAGAUCGGAGAACUGUCAGAAGGUUACAAAGCUUCAUGAAAGAUAGCUCAAAUUUCAGAAGCUUAUGACUACAAAUUUAAUGUGAGCAUCGUUUGUUGGGAAAUAUUAGGUAUUUUCUCCUUCGAGCUCUAGGUUGGCAUGUUGAAAAAAACCAUCAUGUACCAUCUUAAUCAGAACAAGGAUAACAAAGGAAGUGAUUUUUAACACUGAAAUUGUUUUAAACUAAAGUUUCCUUUAAAUUUUCUAAAGUUCAUAGUGUUUGAAUCUCUUUCUAUAUUUUCAAAGAUAAAUCAUGAACGAAAUGAACUGUUUAUCUGGAGGUGAAAAUAAUUGUGCUGCAUUUUCAACCAUUGCAGUUGUAUACAUUAUGCUGUUUAUUUAUAUCAAGUCAGCCAUGUAACUCUCAGGUACAGUAUCCAGAUGCUCCCAUCUGCAUUUCUAAACUUCUGUGCCAGCUCUUGUGUCACCUGCUGAAAGAAAAUGAUCUGACUGUCUGCAGAUUGAGCAGCCACUUCUUUGAAGCAGUUACCAGUGCAGCUUCUGACUCCAGGUCUCUGCCAGCAUGCGUUCAACCAGCCUGCAGACAUCAGUAGCUGGCUUUCCCCCACUCUGAGGCUUCACGUUAAAUUGCUGUUGAGACUCCAUGACAUAAAUUAAGAACAGAAAAACCAGUUUUAAGCUUACAGCUCUGAAGAAAUCACCAAACGAGUUCUAUUUUGGCAGCCUGCUGCUCACAACUCAGAAAAUACGACAGCAAAGCAAAUCACAUGUCCAGUGUGUGUUUUAUAACCCGCCUCAGACUAAGCCAUCUUGUAGGCACAUGCUUGACUAUUUUUAGUGGCUGUGCUCCCGCAUAUAUGGCAAAGUCCUUUAGCAUUGGCUACUCACUAGGGGCUACUUGAAAAGUAGCAAGAGAUGUCAGUUGCUGGAAUUUUCACUGAAAAUAAUAAUACCUGGAUUUCAGAUUUGCUGUACAGAUUUGCCAAAGUGCAAAUGAAGUCAGCUCUGGCAAUGUGAUGAUUCACUGAUUGCUGCCUUCAGCCAUGAAAGCUCAGGAUCUGACUGUGUUUUAUUUUCAUCACCAUUACAGCAUUAUUUUAAAGAUACACCAUUGCUCGUGGGAACGUCGGUUUUCUAGGGUGUGCAUCUGGGAAUCAAACAUUUCUUCCCCAGCUCCAAGCAGGCACUGUGGCAAAUCCAGAGGACCUAUAACUGACACGUCCCAUUAGUCAUAGAAACAUCCCACUAAAAUUAGCGGCAGCUUUUCAUCUUUAUGGGCCUCAUGCCUCGGUCCAUAUGUAGAACAUACAAAAUGGAUUUUUCUUUUCUUGGCAUGUAACCCCGUCUUUCCGGUACUUUGGUUCCAGACCUUCAUGAGCAACGCAGGUGGCUUUUGUUGCUCCACAGCUCAUAUUCUUGACAGUUACUGCAUCUACACAAUACUUCUGGAUACAGCCAGGCUGAAACAUUCUCACAAACAGUUACUUAAGAUUAUCAGCAUUAGCACAUAAAUAUAAUAAUAAUUAAUAAUACUUUGGCUUCUUGAAGAUCCCCUGUGCUGCUCUGUUGGCUCUGUUUCAAGAGCACCUAAAAAGAUGACAGCAAGGGCUCCCCCAUCCGUGUCUCGUUUUUUAAACUAUAGAUGGUUUGUUUCUUAGGUGUGCAACAAAAGUGCAGCCAAAAGCUACUGCGAUUUUCACUUUCAGAGCCCAAGGUUUUCAUGACCACCUCACAUUUGGGACUGUAUCUGUUUAUUCAUUUGUUGAGUCCCAGCUGGAGACAGUUCAGACAUGAUUUUUGGAGGUGUUGGCCACUUAACAGCUUCCAUGUGAGCCAAGGAGAACUGUGACUGUGCAGCACUGUUCUUAAUGUAGCUUCUGGUUUUUGAAAUGAGCAUGCUCUACAAGAGGCCAUUUCUACAGUGUUUACCUCAUCUUUAUUCUGAGUCUAAAUUUAUAACAAACAAUGACCUGAAUUAUUUCUGCAUCAUUCACUGCCUUUGUGAAAUUAAUAAAGAACACAAAGAGAUACUUUACUUCAUUAAUACAUAUCAAAAAGAAAAUCCAAGGCUUCUCAACCCUGCAAUUCUUGAUUUUCUUGUUUGCUGCCUCAACAUACAGGUCAAAUACAGAGUAAGACUCUCCUUUUCCUGUGGAAUGGUUACUCUGAAGCAGGGAUCAGGCUGUGGUGAGAACUCUGUAUCGCCAUUUCUUUACCUGGCUUAUAAACUCAGGAUUUUAUUUUCCAGUGCAAUCAAUAUUCAAAUUUUCCAAAGCACUUUAUCUACUCAGAAGAGACAGCAAUGUGCCAAAUUUCCCUAGUUGAAGUCCCAAAGCCACAUUUUUCAGUUUCAAAAGGAAACAAAUAAAUAAAUAAAAUAGAACUGCCCAGAUAAAACUCAAAACAGUUCUUGGAGCUAAUUAAUAACACAGGUAUCAUUUUUUUAAUUUUUUUUUUAACCAUACCACGCAAUGGAGUGCAAUAAGAACAAUGGUUAUACCAACUGAGAAAUAGAAAAGGUGAUUCAUUUUAGUUUGGAAAGAAACAGCAGUGUGUCUUGGUGUUGCUAAUAAAAGCUUUUAGGGUUUUGCUCCCUGCAGGCUUCAUGGCAGUAAUCAGCAGUGCUUCUGUUAGCUCAUUAUCAGCAUUGCUGGCAGCAGAGGAGGGAGAAUUGGUUGCACAUUCUGAUUAUUAUUGUCAUUGUAACACUUUAUAUUAAGUCUCCUUCAACAAAGGAUUUACAAGCCGCAUUAGAGACAGUACAUCAAUAGAAGCUGUUACAGAAUCACACUGUAACUAUACAGACUGAUUAGUCUUUUAUUGACAGCCUAUGAAAAAUUUACUAACCACCCACUAACUGUUUGUAAAUGGAGCCGAAGUAUUCAGACUCAUAUGUUUGAAGAACACGAGGAACCGUUUGGAGGAUAUGCUCCAGUUUCUCACUGAACACAGGUCACAAUGUCUUGCCAGAAGAGUCCUGUGGUGAGCCAGCCAUUUCUGGAUGAACUAGUGCAUCUUUCCUAGAACGUCAUCCAUUCUGGACCCGAAGUUUUCAAGAAUCCUUAACAACUCAGUAUGUAGAUUUGUAAGAAACAGAACUCAUGCAAUUCCAGAUUUCAGUUAUUAAAUAGCCUACAACAGUAAAGAUCCUUCCAUUACUGCAACCUUCACCCUUCUCUCUUACUCUUUCUUUCACUUAAUCUAUGUUCUAUAUAAAGUAAAAAAUCAUUACCCAACAUUUAGGUUUUGGUAGGAUCUGAGCUCAGUCCAAACCAGAAUUCAGUCAUGCUGAAGGUAACACAUCCUUUCAAAGAUUACACAGGCAACAUGAAACAGAUGGAUAAAAACCUUGGAGGCUGGUCACAGAGAAGAAAGUAAAGGAGUAAUGGGAUAUAUACAGCUCUGAGCCACUCACAUGCCACACUGAGAUGUUUCCCCAUCACUGCACCUGCAGAGGUACCUCCUUUAGGAAAGCCCUAUGAAGAAUGUCUGAAAAACUAAAAGAAUCACUGUACAUUAAUUGUGUAGCAGAUAAUAAGUGCAAGCUCUACCCACAUCACCAGUAUUCCUCUAUUCAUGAGCCAUGGAUCAUAACCUGCACUUCUUAUGAGGCUGCUCUGCCUUCCCUACUCCCUCCUAUGAUUCUCUGUAGCAAGCUGUUCUUUUUUUGUUUGUUUGUUUGUUUUUCCAAAGCACAGAGGCCUGGCAUGGAAACCCCAAGGUGCUCUUCAAGUUGUGUCCUAAAAUAAAUUGGAUCUCCUCUUGUUUUUCUUGAAUAAGUGCAACGCAUUCUAAGUAUUUCUUUGCCAAGGUAUUUAGAAACGGUAAAGCUGGGAGAUGAAGAGUGCUGGAAGACUGGGCUUGAGGCAGUGCACUUACUGCAGUGGUAUUCUCCCACCAGCUGUUUCUGUUUCCCUGUAAUUUGUUCAGGAUUUGCAUCAGGACCUCUGAGUUCACCUUCUGCAAAAUAUUUGUUAAUUUUUUUUCUCUCUUUCUCUGAGACAAGUGCUCCCCCCUCCACCCUGUCCCAACCUCUUUUUAAGUAGAAUAGUUUGCCAGUGGAUUGGAAACAAAUUAGUACCAUGUUGGCAGGGCUGGGCUGCUUGAUUCCCAGACACGUUUCUUGUAUUUGUUAUUUUUUUUUUCAUUGUGAAAAUAACAGAGAUGGAAUGACAUGUAUUCAAGGAGCUCCUUUGACAGAGGCAGAUCUAAAAAGAAUGUAUUCAUCCUCCACAGUUGUAAAUGUGGUGUGUUCCCACUGGCUACAGUAUACUCCGAACAUCAUAAGGAUGGUGAAUCUUUGGAGGACUCACAAUUUAAGUUCCAGUGACUGUCUGUCUUCUUAAAAUCUUCUUAAUUGAUGGAUCUGCUUACAGACUGCCAUUUACAUACAUCUGCCUAAUUCCUUCUUUCUUACAAAUCUUAGCCUAUUUGCCAUGGUCAUGAGAUUUAAUUUUUGCUAUGUUCUUUGGACAUCAAGACAUUUUCCUGAUAUAGGGAAGCUGAGGUAUAAAAAUCAAUGCAAUUCACACAUGAAGCCUGGGUUGAAAUAAGAAAGAGACAGUUAAUUUUCACCCAUUUUUAUAAAAACAAAAUUCAGAAUUUUCACUUCAACACAUUUUGAGGUUAAGCUAACUAAAUCUAAUGUAAAACUGAAAUGAAGAAAAAAAAUCUAGGGUAAAUGAAGUAUUUUAAGUCAAGCAGAGUGUUUAAUUUGAUCAGAACUGAAAAACCUUUUCUUUCAUUUUCAUUUUGGCAAAAACAACAAAGAGGUCAUUUUGGGUUGACCUGAAAUAAUUUUUUUCUUAGUUCAGCCAAAGAGUGGAAAGAUUAGUUAUUUAGACAGCACUACUCCUAAAUUCAACUACCAUGCCAUUUCCAGCAGGCUAUCCUUCCUGCCUUAAAUGAGCUUUUCAUCCUUAUAUAUACGUUUAUAACAACUGAUGAGAGAAAUAUUGAGUAAUCACAUAGGUCCCAGUCAAAGUUUCAAAAUUCCUUUAACUGUUUGACCUUCCUUUCUUGGAAGUGAAUCCUAUGUAUGUGUAAUUUAUUCAUAAUUCCAGUUCAUGAGACCUUUUUGUUGUUGAUUGUGGCCAUUUGUUGGUGUUGUUUUAAAAAUAAAAGCUUUCCAUAUUAAUUUGUUCCAUCUCUUGCUUCAUGGGACAUAAUUUACAGUGAUGUGCCUGGCCCUAAAUGAAUGCAGGUUAGCUUACAGUAGGAAGGACUGUUGGAAAAAAUACAAUGAAUUGUCCCCAGAAUAAACAAACAACUUUUCAAUUUGGGUUCUGCCAAUGGCUCUUUGAUAAUGAAUAUAAAGGAGCAGGAUGUUUGCUGACCAUGCUACAGAUGUCUAAUGUUUCAGUCAUGUUGAAUGAAUCACUUUGGUUCUGUUGGCUCACAGAGAAGUAAAUAGUCUUUUUCUGAUUCAUCUUCUAAAACGAUACUACUUUGGAGAAGCUAUUUGUGAAACUGAGUGCAUGGAGCAGUCUGUUUGUUCUUUUUAAUUCCUUCCCCGUUUUUCUACUUAUAACACCUUUUCUGACAUAAGCAUGUGCAACAUAAACUUUGUGUCAUGUGUUAUAGGGUAGAAAAUCUAAAAUGCUAAACACACUAGUGCACUUUGGGUAACACCUACAAUCAUAAUGAAGUGUUUCCUGGCACACUGCAUUCUGCACCUUAAAUCACUUUUAUAUUGAGCUCCAAAAGUUUAAGUUUUUUUCUGAGUUACACGUUAGUGCCUGAGGAAAGGGAGCUGGGCCAUGGUAGACAACCAGGGCAGUAGGUGGAGGUGGCUACCAACAUCAGCAUCACCAGUUUGUGGUGUUGGGCUGAACUGUGUCCAGAGGUGCUACCCAACAUUGGGACAGGAGUGCAAGACCAGAAGAGUGAUGUUCUGCCAAGCAAAGCUGUAGGGAGGGCAGCCUCUUGGCCAGAGCCAAAGACAGAUGAGGAGCAGCUGAUGGCAGAAAUGUCUUUUACCAAAAUACCAGGUUCCAGAAUAAAUUUGUUUGGAACUUAGCAUUAAAACCCCAUUUCAGUGCUGUAUUUAAGUGUGUGCCCAUCUCUGAGAAUAUGAGGCACUACUUUAAGGUCAGUGGGAUUUCUCACAUUCUUAAAAUGGGUAUGUACUUCAGAAGCUAAUUUGGAGCAUUUUCAAAGAUUUUUAGGAACAGAGAAUGCUUAGAGAGAACUAAUACAGUAGAAGAAAAUAAAAUGGCAAAAAGAAAAAAAAAAGAAAGAAAAAAGAAAAGAAAUGAAGACAAUAAAAACAUCAAAUGUCAGAAAAAAAUCACAUAAAUUCUGAAAAUUGACCAGACACCAAUAAUUCUGACAAAAGCCUAGGCACAUUAACACACAUUAGAUAUAACAUGAAUUUGAAA